rnacentral:lncRNA from 1 species
CGUCGUCAUCUGAACUCUAUGUGGGCAGGGACGAACUUGAUGCACUCAUAGCAGGGUGACAAAAAACUAACCUAAGGAAUGACGUGGCCGAGCAAGCAAGGGACAGGGAAGAGAUCGACCGUAGCUUGGCUUCAACCGAGCAACCGAGUGAAGUCUCUAAGUGCCAGCAUUCCCCCCUCUGGAUAGUGGAAGCAGUGGAAAUGAAGUUACGGCGGUCCUUAUUCAUAAGGAGCUCGGAUGGCUUCGAUCUAUUGUCGAUUUACCUCCCUAUGUCGAUGUUCACCAAAUGGCAGCUUGUGAUUGGUCAGAAUAUGGCUCCCGCAGAUCCGACGAAUCAAUGGUCCAGAUUUGAAGAUGUUCCACCUCAAAUAAUCGAUCUUGGACACAUGUCAGCAGAAGGCAGUUCGACCAACUUAGCCUCGACGUUGGACUGAUACUCUCUUCAAUCGACCUAUCGUAAGAUCAGC